rnacentral:lncRNA from 1 species
UGUCCCUCCAAGUGCAUUUUGAAGGAUAGAUUUCCCCAGCAGACGCACGUCUGUGUCUGCAGAAAUGUCCCUGCGGGGGAAUGUCACCUGCACGUUCUUGGCCUGUUCCUGCAGUGACUUUAUCCCCUCCACUGGGGGACACGCAGACCCGACUUCUGUCUCCUGUGCCCCCACCCCAAAACAGAAGCGGGAGUUUCCCGGAUUUGAGCUGAAUUUGGUGAUCUGCAGCAGAACGUGUGCUGGUGAGAAAGGGGCCCUGGGUGUCCCCUGGGAAGUGCUGCGGGAAGCUGGAGCACCGAUCCCCUGGUGUGCUUCAGAUGUGGAGGGAUGCUUUGAUUCCUUGGAUCAGUAAUACUGGGGAGCAUUGCAGGCUUGAAGAACACGAGACCUGGAGCAGAAAGGCACGGAUCUCUGUUUUUCUCCCAGAAAUACCGUGUAAAACUGGCAGAGUCUGUGGAUCACCCUCUCUCUCCCCACAAAUUGCCUUUCUUUUCUUUGAAAAACUCGAUGGCAGGUGCAGAGACCUCAGUACCACACUCUAUUUGUAGUGGGAGUCAGGAUUUAUCUAUCUGUAUUCUAUUUAUUUGGGUUUAUCUAUCUGUAUUCUAUUUAUUUGGGUUUUAUCUAUUUAUCUGUUUGUGGUAGGGUCAGGAGCUGAGCAGGCUCCAGCUGUUUGGGGUUUCUUACAGGGGAAGAACAACUUUGUUGUCCUGACCCGUUCUGCUACCUCUGCUUCUCCCUGGAGCACCCCAAAACUCCUGAUUCUUACACAGCUGAGGCAGCAAGCUUCAGGCCCCAAGCCCUGGGUAAGAACCGGUCAUUUUGGGUAAAGAGCAGCAGGGAGGAGAGUAUCAAACUGAAACAAGAGGUCAGAGCCUCUCCAGGUAAUAGGCCCGGGGGCGUUGCUGCACAAUUGAAGUAUCAGUGCAAUUUUAAUGCAAUUUGUUCUGUGUGGAAAGUCCAGGGAGGAAAUGUUCCUUUCCCCUGGGCUGAGAGGAGAAGCUGGAGGCUGCUUGCUCUGUGCUCAAGGCCAGGUCACUCGCUCUCCAUGUGGAGGAUGAUUGCUUUCUGCAGCUCAGUGAAUCACACAGACCCGUGUGUCCUUGCCUACCACGCUCCACUCUCCUGGAUACCAAAUGGCUUCAUCAUUCCGGCUGCUAAUGAAACCGGAAUUGAAUUAAUGGGAACAUGUGUGCCGGUCAGGAGAGGGCUGGACCACAAAGCGCCUCAUUUCUCAACGAGUUUAUCUUUCCAUUAA